rnacentral:rRNA from 1 species
UACGUAGGUGACCAGCGUUGUCCGGAUUUACUGGGCGUAAAGAGCGCGCAGGCGGUCGUUCAAGUCGAGUGUGAAAGCCCCCGGCUCAACUGGGGAGGGUCAUUCGAUACUGAUCGACUCGAAGGCAGGAGAGGGAAGCGGAAUUCCCGGUGUAGUGGUAGAAUGCGUAGAUAGUCGGGAGGAACACCAGUGGCGAAGGCGGCUUCCUGGCCUGUUCUUGACGCUGAGGCGCGAAAGCUAGGGGAGCAAACGGGG